GCGGCGGACGGGUGAGUAACACGUGGGUAACCUGCCUGUAAGACCGGGAUAACUCCGGGAAACCGGUGCUAAUACCGGAUAGAUUAUCUUUCCGCCUGGAGAGAUAAGGAAAGAUGGCUAUUGCCAUCACUUACAGAUGGGCCCGCGGCGCAUUAGCUAGUUGGUGAGGUAACGGCUCACCAAGGCGACGAUGCGUAGCCGACCUGAGAGGGUGAUCGGCCACACUGGGACUGAGACACGGCCCAGACUCCUACGGGAGGCAGCAGUAGGGAAUCUUCCGCAAUGGACGAAAGUCUGACGGAGCAACGCCGCGUGAGCGAAGAAGGUCUUCGGAUCGUAAAGCUCUGUUGUGAGGGAAGAACAAGUAUCGGAGGAAGAUGCCGGCGCGGUGACGGUACCUCACGAGAAAGCCCCGGCUAACUACGUGCCAGCAGCCGCGGUAAUAC
rnacentral:rRNA from 1 species